ensembl:lncRNA
UAUCUCUCACUUGUCUCAGUAUCUAGCAUGGAAUUCCACACAUGCCUUUUAUUUAGGAAAGAACACAGAAGUAUGUUAUCUUAUUCCUCUGGAAUUUUCCGCAGUUAUUUAGCAUGUUAGUUUAGGCAUAACUGGUGAGCGGGCUCUUGAAAUUUAUAUCUUCACAGCACUUAUUUACAUCGGGCUUAAAGUAGUUCGUUGCAACCGAGGUAGUUGUGAAGCAUUAGGCUGCAACGUACCUAAUCCAUCUCUCCUCCCCCAUCACCAGAAAUCCUGUGGUUAAAAUAACACAGCCUCCAUUCAGAGCGCAAACUUAGAGCCGCGAGCGGGAGUCACACAACUGCACCGAUGGAUGUGCCCAAGGGGCUCUCGUGGUGCUGCUCCCCACCCCGCUGCUGAUCCAGGAGAGCACGGCGGGGGCUCUCCUGCCUGCACACCAGACCUGGCUGCUCCAAGAGACGUUUGCAGAAUAUCAUGCACUGGAAUCGUUCCUAUUCUUGGUGAUGGAGUUCAAAUACCCCAUCAGUUUACCACAUUAAGCCACAGGAUGCAAACUGCCAGUGAACUGAAGUCACUCCAGCCACAGGAGCAAGAGCUGCAUUUGGUCCCAUACCCAUCCCAAGGGAUUUUGAGCUGGAAGUGCCUCAUCACAGAGCUGAACAUGCUGAGUGUUCUGCAGCGGGCUUGCCCUAAUCACAGCACUCUCUAAUGAAUUGUUUACGCUUAUGUUUCUCAACAGCAGCGCAUGUUAAUGGCAUUUGUAAUUUCCUUGAUUUGGAAUAAGAUUAGCUGUGUGUUAGCCUUGAGAUAAUAACAGGGGCGUUCGGGUGUUUAUCCUAAGCAGUAAUUGGAUGCAGCGUGCAGUGUGUGCCUGCAGCAGGGACCUCAACACACAUCUCUCCUUGCCUAGGGGUGUUCCAUGCUCCUAUAGUGGGAAAUGUGGCACCCAUGUCUGUUGCAGGGCAGGCCAGGAGGACACCACGUCCUGCACCCCAGGCACUGGUAUGGCUGGGACUGCAGGGGCUCCUGUGUGAGGAGUCACUCAGGUGUGGGCUCUCAGGUGGGAUGCAUCCAACCCCAGGGCUGCUGCUGAGCUGCUUGACCCAGCCAUAAUGGUGAGAUGCAGGAAGUGAAGCAAACAUCAGAGCCUUAUACACAAAGCCCAGGGACACCUGAGAGCUCCUUGAGCCCCUCUGCAGACACCAGCAUCCUUGGGGCUGUCCAGGCACACGUGCUCAGCUGGGAUCUGAAAAGAACAUCACAUGGCUCAGUGCUUUAGAAGAACCAGAACUAUCUUUAAUUCAUUACUCCAGACUAUACAAUCAUAUACUGUGCUGGAGGUAGAUAUUCUGAAAAAAAAAACCACUACAAAACAAGGAAUGUACAGAAUCUCAGUAGCCGCUCAGUGCCAGAUGUCUAUUAUCUCAUCACACACAUAUGCUAUGCAAAGAUGCCAUUACUAAUGCUCCCCUCCACUACCACCGAGGCAUGCCUGGUACCGCCAGUCUGUGCUGACGUAAAUAACAACCUGUCCUAGCAUCCCCCUGACCAGCGUUGGGGAAGGGGAAAGGACAUGUGUUCCAGAUGGAAACACAGCCAGGGUUUGUUCCCACAGUGGUUUUUUAUCUAAUUUUACCUCAGAUAGGAUCAGAGUGGGAGGGAUCCCUUCACAAACUGCAUCCUAUUUGACUGCUUACACAUUUGCUUCUUUAAUGAAAUUAUUGGAGUAAUAAUAGGAGCAAUGACAAAACUACUGCAAAGCAGCUGAGACUCAAAAUAUGGUAGAAAAAUCAUAGAAUCAUUUGAGUUGGAAGGGACCUUUAAAGGUCAUCCAGUCCAACUCCCCCUGCAACCUACCCCUGGGUUCCCCCUCGACAGAUGAGGCACAUCUGCUGUUCCUGCUUUAAAGUGAUGUAAAUCUCUGACCUCAGCAGAACGAGUCCUCAUUCAUUCCCACACUGAAUGGAUGGAAAGUGCUGAAGCUGGAUUUGGGGCCGUUGGUACAGGCCUUACCUUUCCAGGCUUUGGGCUACCUCACCUUGAAACCAUCAUUUAACUGCGUAAAAAGCUCCCAUGGAAAACUGUGUGAUCCAGAUUCACUUGGAGCUUGUAUGUCAUGCAUGGCUAAGGCCAGGCUGAAGAUACACUGACAGAAUGGGGCUGAACAACCAAGUGAUGCCUGCACACAGAAGGACAAAUUCAUAGUGCUCUCCCAAAUUGUGGGUGGUCUAUUGUGCACUGCUGUAGUCAAUGAGAACAUUAAGCUCAUACACGCAAAUCUAAUUUGAAAAACCAUUAUUUAGACUUAACAAUGCAAGUAUUGUAACCUCAUCAUUUCCACAUUGAGCCCCAGCUCUGCUCCUCUCAAGUACAGAGGAGUCUCUUCAAAAUCCUGCAAUUUUAUUUGAAAAAAAAUGCUGUAGGCGUAAAGUUAGCGUGGAAGUACACAGAGCCCUGAUGACUGUUUUCAUCCACACAGAACACGAGGCCAGUAGAUGAUUUAUUUUUAUUGGCACGGCAGUCAGAUAAGCUUCCCUUCUGAUGAAUGAGAGAAGCAGGGGUUGGCCCGUGCUGUCAGUCAGGGAGCGCGCGGCAGAAGGACUACAAGAGCAGCUUGGUGAUGACACGCUGCUCGAGCAUGUUCUCAGAGCAACGCCAGGAUCCCACGCUGCUGCUCCUCCCGCUACUUGGAAAUCAUAGCAGUGCUCCCAGCCAGUGAAGUCACUGUUUGCCCACUGUUGAUUCUGUGGCACGUCAUGGGACAGCUACGCCACAACUGGGUAAGAACAAAGCAUUGGGGUGAGUGUUGGGUGUGCUCCACCUCCUGCCCUCCCUGGACAGCAGGGCAGUCUGUGGGCAUGUCUCGUUUGUCACCUGCAGACACUUCAGAAGGGUUUCCAGAAUAUGAACCUCACUGUAACAAAUCGUUUUCCUUUCGUUGUUGUUCCCCUCGUCUCUAAAAAGCAACAUUUUUAGGAUCACCCAGACUUUGUAACUAAACAAACAAACUUUUGAUGGACAUUCUCACUCUUUCUGGGUCAUGGCUGAUUUAUCCAGACCAUCUGCUUUCCUUGAAGGAGACCUUGAUUACCAUCUAAACUACAUUUUUACCCUGUUCCUCUGAGAUCUCCAGUGGGAGAUGAGUUUUGGAGGGGAUUGAAGGUUGCUAGAAUCAUAGAAUCAUUAAGGUUGGAAAGACCAACAAGAUCUUGUCCAACCAUCAAUUCAUGUUUGUGACUGCUCUGCACCGGGUCAUUCAGUGUGACAUCUACCUUUCCUUGAACACCUCCAGGGACAGCAACUCCACCGCCUCCCUGGGCAGCCUGUUCCAAUGCCUCACCACUCUUUCUGAGAAGCAUUUUCUCCUAUUUUGUCCUAAUAUCCAACCUGAACCUCCCCUAGAGAAACUUAAAGGCAUUACUUCUUGUCCUAUCAAAACUCCAGCAAGUAAAAAGACUGUGAAUACAGAUGGGUGACCUGAGUGAUGAGGAAAUGAGCCUUCAGACAAUCUCUCCUCCUCACACUUCCACUACGCUUGCCAAAGUAGACUGCUGGUACUUCCUGGAUCAAAUACUCCUGCCCAUUGAUCGUAGCACUCUAAUUCAGCUGC